AAGGAAUAUUGGUCAAUGGACGCAAGUCUGAACCAGCCAUGCCGCGUGAAGGAUGAAGAUCCUCUGGAUUGUAAACUUCUUUUAUCUGGGACGAAAACGGGAUUUUUAUCUCAAUUGACGGUACCAGAGGAAUAAGCACCGGCUAACUCCGUGCCAGCAGCCGCGGUAAUACGGAGGGUGCGAGCGUUAUCCGGAUUUACUGGGUUUAAAGGGUGCGUAGGUGGGCUUAUAAGUCAGUGGUGAAAUCUCCGAGCUUAACUUGGAAACUGCCGUUGAUACUAUAGGUCUUGAAUUAUCUGGAGGUAAGCGGAAUAUGUCAUGUAGCGGUGAAAUGCUUAGAUAUGACAUAGAACACCAAUUGCGAAGGCAGCUUACUACAUAUAAAUUGACGCUGAGGCACGAAAGCGUGGGGAUCAAACA
rnacentral:rRNA from 1 species